rnacentral:rRNA from 1 species
UACAGAGGUCUCAAGCGUUUGUUCGGAUUCAUUGGGCGUAAAGGGUGCGUAGGUGGCGCCGUAAGUCAGGUGUGAAAUUUCGGAGCUCAACUCCGAAACUGCAUUUGAUACUGCGGUGCUUUGAGGACUGGAGAGGAGACUGGAAUUCACGGUGUAGCAGUGAAAUGCGUAGAUAUCAGGAGGAACACCAGCGGCGAAGGCGGCGCUCUGGGCCGGAACUGACGCUGAGGAGCGAAAGCGUGGGGAGCAAACAGG